ensembl:lncRNA
GAGCUCCAGGCAGCAUUUAGAGUCACCUGUAUGUAGAUGCAUGACUUGACAUGGCACACGUCCUGAAUGCACAGCCAAAGUGGGGAUAUGCUGAAGAACUCUUAUGAAGCUGAGGAUUUCACUGUCGGAGAAGCAACCAGGGAAGGACCCAUGAAUGAAGCACAUGGCCAGCCCAAAGGGAUGCUGCAGUUCCAUAUGGUGAUAAUAAGGUGGUUUGUGCACAAAAGAUUGAAAAGGCAAAAGAUGGAAAAAGAGAAAAACAGUGAACAGGAUGAGCUGACAUCCUCAUCUCUAGAAUAGGCGUGGGGUCUACGCAACAUGGACACACACAUCUCUGGUGUCAGGAGAUUCAGUGUGGGCACUGAGUCCAUUUAGGAGAUGGAGCAAAGCACCAUUCUGGGGAAUGAGUCACAUCCUAAAGCAGGGAAUGGAUACACCCAGGGCUUUGAGAUAGAUACACCACAAAACACUGUGGGCAUUGCAAUGAGCCCAUAGAGGUGCAGGCUUUGAAUCACCAAUCAGAUCAGACUGCCCAGGGCACCAUAAGCACCUCCAGGGAUGAGGCUUCUUCAAAAUACUAUGGGACCUGAGUCCUCAUUCCUCUGUCUGGCAUCUACAUGAUGUUGAUCAUCACCAUAAACUUGUCAAUGGAUGUUCAGGAUGUUUUCCACCCAUAAAUCUCAUCAGGCCCUACAGGCUACGCUGGUGCUACUCUCAAAAUCAGACCCUAAAACCUUAAAAGGAAGGCCAUUGGAAAUCGUCUCUCUUUCGAGUAUGUUGGCCCUCGUGUUUCAUUUUCUAACAGCUUAGGGGGUACUUCACACACCAUGCAGAGGUAGAUGAGCUGGGGCGAACACAUAUGUGAGCUCCCACCCCAGCACGUGUCAGUGCAUGGAAGCUCAUUAGAAUGGACCAAGCACUGUGCCAGCUGUAAAUGCAAAGACAGGUCUUUUCAAAUAAGCCCCAUUAGUUCCACAUGUGCGUUUGAUAGAUAAUUUCUUGGCUACUUAACAUGAAACCAAUAAUUAUGGAAAUGACUGCUAGGAUCCAGAUACUCUCCAUAAGAAACAGAUGGAGAACGGAAAGAAAGUAAUGCAGGAGACUUUGCAAGGGCUUUUUCCCUCCUCCAGUGCACCCAUCCUCAGUAAACUGCUAGUGCAUAGCCCUGCCCAGCAGAACAAAGGGAAGGAAUCAGCUCUGCCAGCACCAGCAUGGUGCCUUGAGAAAUGGGAUUAAACACAUACUGUGCAGCCACACUUGCAACCCUGCUGCAAACAACUCACCAUGUCCCCCCAAAAAAUGGGAAGAACACAAAAUUUGGCACUUUCCUCCACUGAUUAUCGCCAGCUAAGAAUUUUCUGACAGGGGAUCAAGUCCAGAAAAGACAUAUUGCAACCAGCAUGUUUUUCUGCAUCAGUCUGUUUAUAACUAAUAGCAGAUUGUUAUUCAGAACCCACACUGAUUUAUUCCUUCUUAUGCUCACUCACACCCUGCACCAUCCCCACACCCGGGCAUGUGACAAACAGGGUGCAAAUGUGCAUGCAGCAAAGGCACAUGUUUCAGCUGGAAAUGGCUGGGACAUGGAGGUAAAGAAAGGAGAGCACACGCAUUUAUAGAGGGAACACAGCUAUCACAACAGCACUAUACAACUGCAAAAAGAAAAGGAGAAAAAAAGAAAUGAAUAGAGGUAGUUACAUAAAACACAGGCCCUGUCUGUUCAGCACAAAUCUUGUGUGGGGGUAGGUCAAUUCACUCGACACAGCUAGAAAUAAUUGUCUGCGUUAACCAUUAAUAGGUCCCCGUUCAAAGUUCCCUGCCAUCUCCUCCAUCCUCUGUCCAUGCCCCCUGUGCUUGCUUCCCAUGGCUGCCUGUCUGCUGCCUGCCCAUGUCCAUGCCCACACUGUAGAGUUCAGUGGCACCAGCCCACACUGUCAGCCCCAUCCAGCCAAAUAGCAAAUAAAAUCCAAAAGAAAACAUUGGGUGCUUUAUUU